ensembl:lncRNA
UGCUGUUUGUCGUCUGUAAAGCGGCGCUUUAGCUCAGCAGAGACACACUACAGAGACACGGAGUGUGAUGUUAACGGACAGAGGAAGUUUCCUCACAGGAGGAUUUGUGUGAGGAGAAGCGGCGCGCGCAUCACUCGAGCGUGUUUACUCUCUCCGACAUUUUCCAGAAAAUUCGAAGAACAUAUUUUCUUCUUAGUUUUUUUUUCUUAUGACUAAGGGAUCUUGUUGUUUUGUCGGAGAAUAUUGCUGAAGGAGCUGUGUGGAAAAUCAUGAACAGCGUCACGGAGCUUGAAGACGGACCGCAGCACAAGGCUCAGUUCCUGUGUGAUGGGAUGAAACAGCUGGUUCCCGGUCAGUGAGAUUUGUACCUGUUUAAAAGGGGUAAAAAUAGGGCCCGUGGUCCAGAGAGUCAUGAGCCGGUGGCCUUUUAUAGAAAGGAUCUAUCUGAGUGCAGGAAGGUUUUUACUUGCUGUGUCCUGUUAAAGGUCUGGAGAUGUGUCACCUCAUAAAUCCUCCACCAUAUCACAGAGAUGGUUAAUUCAAGACUGAGAAGGAGGAAACACCUCCACUACUGGGUGACACGUUUCCUCCAGAGUGCUAGACAGCAUUUUCACUUAAAAUUAGCAUUCAAAUACUGACCUACUGGUUUUGUGAAGUACAAAGUGACUGGAUAUACGAAGUGAUACGGAGGAUACAAGUGAACUCAAAUAAGAUAAAUAAUAGAUGCAUUAAUACUAAUAAAUAAUGCAAAGACAGCAUGGGGGCUUAGUUAGCAUGUUUGCCUCGCACCUUUGGGUUCGAUUCCCGGCUCCCCCCUGUGUGCACGGGGUUUGCAUGUUCUCCGUGUGCUUCGGGGGGAUUCCUCCAGGUACUGUCCGUAGUGUGUGAAUGGGUGUGUGUGAUUGUGCCCUGCGAUGGGUUAGCACCCCGUCCAGGGUGUCCCCCGCCCUGUGGGAUAAUCUCCAUUCUUCACGUGACCCUAUGUAGGAUAAACGGUACAAAAAAUGGAUGGAUGGAUAAAUGUAUUGUGUUAAGUGGUAAUAAACAAACAGUAUAAAUGGAAUGUCACCAAAUGUAAAUGAAUUUGCAUUUUGGUAGUCGCACGUCUAUUUAUUUAUUGAAAUAAUUCCAUACAUCCAUUAUGCAGUAGCUGCAGAGUCAAACUGGAGCUGUCACUGUUUUACCCAUUAAAAAAACCCUCAAGAGUACUGAUUUGGCCAAGACGCUCAUCUCUAAUGGCCGCCAUCUCGGAUAGUCAGAGAUUUGAAUGUUCACGCAGUGCCGCAAUCGAUGGAAUGCGAUUCACAAAAAACUUCAAUUUAUU